GGUUCUUUCGGUAACUACGGGGUUCUUUCCCUCGACUUCAGCCUAAAAACAAAAGUGGUGCCACCAAGCUACCUCAUGCAACCCACGCUGCUAUCCUUGCAGGCUACUACCACCUCCAUCUAUUCAAGUAAAGCUCAGGAGGUGGGACUACUUGCACUUGAUUUUGGGUUCUUAUUUAUUACUAAGGCUCUAGAGGUUGGACUACUUACACUCGAUUCAAGAAUUCUGCUCUUCCGGUGCACCCAACACCCCCCUGCGUGUUAGUUAAGAUGCAUCUGCAGGUCUCCAUGUGUGCUUUAGUCCUCUCCUCUCGGUAACCAGUGACGAAGGAGCUUGCUGCUUGGGAAUGAGUAGU